rnacentral:rRNA from 1 species
AUUGAACGCUGGCGGCAUGCCUUACACAUGCAAGUCGAACGGUAACAGGUUAAGCUGACGAGUGGCGAACGGGUGAGUAAUGUAUCGGAACGUGCCCAGUCGUGGGGGAUAACUGCUCGAAAGAGCAGCUAAUACCGCAUACGACCUGAGGGUGAAAGCGGGGGAUCGCAAGACCUCGCGCGAUUGGAGCGGCCGAUAUCAGAUUAGGUAGUUGGUGGGGUAAAGGCCCACCAAGCCGACGAUCUGUAGCUGGUCUGAGAGGACGACCAGCCACACUGGGACUGAGACACGGCCCAGACUCCUACGGGAGGCAGCAGUGGGGAAUUUUGGACAAUGGGCGCAAGCCUGAUCCAGCCAUGCCGCGUGCGGGAAGAAGGCCUUCGGGUUGUAAACCGCUUUUGUCAGGGAAGAAAAGGUUCUGGCUAAUACCUGGGACUCAUGACGGUACCUGAAGAAUAAGCACCGGCUAACUACGUGCCAGCCGCCGCAGUAAAAC